rnacentral:rRNA from 2 species
GCUGGAGGUAUCAGAAGUGCGAAUGCUGACAUGAGUAACGAUAAAGGGAGUGAAAAACUCCCUCGCCGGAAGAUCAAGGGUUCCUGUCCAACGUUAAUCGGGGCAGGGUAAGUCGACCCCUAAGGCGAGGCCGAAAGGCGUAGUCGAUGGGAAACGGGUUAAUAUUCCCGUACUUCUUAUAAUUGCGAUGGAGGGACGGAGAAGGCUAGGUGAGCCUGGCGACGGUUGUCCAGGUCCAAGUAUGUAGGCUGAUGGUUUAGGCAAAUCCGGACCAUCUUAAGGCUGAGAUACGAUGUCGAGCUACUACGGUAGUGAAGUCAUUGAUGCCAUGCUUCCGGGAAAAGCUUCUAAGCUUCAGAUUAUAAGAAAUCGUACCCCAAACCGACACAGGUGAUCAGGUAGAGAAUACCAAGGCGCUUGAGAGAACUCGGGUGAAGGAACUAGGCAAAAUGGUACCGUAACUUCGGGAGAAGGUACGCUCCUAGCGGUGAUGAGACUUGCUCUCUAAGCUGCCGGGAGUCGCAGAUACCAGGUGGCUGCAACUGUUUAUUAAAAACACAGCACUGUGCAAAAUCGAAAGAUGACGUAUACGGUGUGACGCCUGCCCGGUGCCGGAAGGUUAAUUGAUGGGGUUAGACUUCGGUCGAAGCUCUUGAUCGAAGCCCCGGUAAACGGCGGCCGUAACUAUAACGGUCCUAAGGUAGCGAAAUUCCUUGUCGGGUAAGUUCCGACCUGCACGAAUGGCGUAAUGAUGGCCACGCUGUCUCCACCCGAGACUCAGUGAAAUUGAAAUCGCAGUGAAGAUGCUGUGUACCCGCGGCUAGACGGAAAGACCCCGUGAACCUUUACUAUAGCUUGGCACUGAACAUUGACCCUACAUGUGUAGGAUAGGUGGGAGACGUUGAAGCAACCGCGCCAGUGGUUGUGGAGUCAAUCUUGAAAUACCACCCUUGUAUGCUUGAUGUUCUAACGUCGACCCCUUAUCGGGGUUACGGACAGUGCCUGGUGGGUAGUUUGACUGGGGCGGUCUCCUCCCAAAGAGUAACGGAGGAGCACGAAGGUGGGCUAAUCACGGUCGGACAUCGUGAGGUUAGUGCAAUGGCAUAAGCCCGCUUGACUGCGAGAAUGACAAUUCGAGCAGGUGCGAAAGCAGGUCAUAGUGAUCCGGUGGUUCUGAAUGGAAGGGCCAUCGCUCAACGGAUAAAAGGUACUCCGGGGAUAACAGGCUGAUACCGCCCAAGAGUUCAUAUCGACGGCGGUGUUUGGCACCUCGAUGUCGGCUCAUCACAUCCUGGGGCUGAAGUCGGUCCCAAGGGUAUGGCUGUUCGCCAUUUAAAGUGGUACGCGAGCUGGGUUUAGAACGUCGUGAGACAGUUCGGUCCCUAUCUGCCGUGGGCGUUGGAUGAUUGAGAGGGGCUGCUCCUAGUACGAGAGGACCGGAGUGGACGAACCGCUGGUGUUCGGGUUGUAUCGCCAGAUGCAUUGCCCGGUAGCUAAGUUCGGAAUCGAUAACCGCUGAAAGCAUCUAAGCGGGAAGCGAGCCUCAAGAUGAGUCAUCCCUAGACCUUUAAGGUCUCUAAAGGGUUGUUGAAGACUACAACGUUGAUAGGUCAGGUGUGUAAGUGCUGUGAGGCAUUGAGCUAACUGAUACUAAUUGCCCGUGAGGCUUAACC